GCCCGAUGAACCUGAAUAUCCGUUAUGGAAAAUUCAUCAUUAAAGUUGUAAUAUUUUAACAAUAUUAUAAUAAUAGUGUGCAUUUUUUCCAUAUAAGGACAUUGUAAUCUAUUAGCAUAUACCAAAUUUAUCAUAAAAUAUGGCUUAUAGUUUAUUCAAAUUAUUAUGCUUGCAUUUUAACAUAGAAUAAAUGUCAUUAAUUUGAUAAAGUGUUGAUAAAUUAAAAUUAAUACAGUGCGUUAAUUUUUCGAAAUUAUAUAAUGGCAUAAUUAUCAUUGAUUUUUAUGUUUAUUAUAUGCAUUUGUAUGAUUAACAAUGCGAAAGAUUCAGGAUACUUCGGG
rnacentral:rRNA from 1 species